CCUACGGGAGGCUGCAGUCGAGAAUCAUUCACAAUGGGGGAAACCCUGAUGGUGCGACGCCGCGUGGGGGAAUGAAGGUCUUCGGAUUGUAAACCCCUGUCAUGUGGGAGCAAAUUAAAAAGAUAGUACCACAAGAGGAAGAGACGGCUAACUCUGUGCCAGCAGCCGCGGUCAUACAGCGGGGUCAAGCGUUGUUCGGAAUCACUGGGCGUAAAGCGUGAGGAGGCUGUUUCGUAAGUCCUGUGUGAAAGGCGCGGGCUCAACCCGCGGACGGCACAUGAUACUGCGUGACUAGAGUGAUGGAGGGGGAACCGGAAUUCGCGGUGUAGCAGUGAAAUGCGUAGAUAUCGAGAGGAACACUCGUGGCGAAGGCGGGUUCCUGGACAUUAACUGACGCUGAGGCACGAAGGCCAGGGGAGCGAAAGGGAUUAGAUACCCGAGUAGUC
rnacentral:rRNA from 1 species